AAAACACCAGUUCUUGUCUGAUCACUGAAGUUAAGCAACAGUGAACCUGGUCAGUACCUAGAUGAGUGACUGCUUGGGAAUACUAUGUGCU